rnacentral:sRNA from 1 species
UGGUAGAUGCACCCAAUCGUUCCCUGAUUCUCUUGUGAAGCUUUCACCCAAGAAUUGGGGAAUUUUUUU